rnacentral:rRNA from 1 species
CCUACGGGAGGCUGCAGUCGAGAAUCAUUCACAAUGGGGGAAACCCUGAUGGGGCGACGCCGCGUGGGGGAAUGAAGGUCUUCGGAUUGUAAACCCCUGUCAUGUGGGAGCAAAUUAAAAAGAUAGUACCACAAGAGGAAGAGACGGCUAACUCUGUGCCAGCAGCCGCGGUAAUACAGAGGUCUCAAGCGUUGUUCGGAAUCACUGGGCGUAAAGCGUGCGUAGGCUGUUUCGUAAGUCGUGUGUGAAAGGCGCGGGCUCAACCCGCGGACGGCACAUGAUACUGCGAGACUAGAGUAAGGGAGGGGGAACCGGAAUUCUCGGUGUAGCAGUGAAAUGCGUAGAUAUCGAGAGGAACACUCGUGGCGAAGGCGGGUUCCUGGACAUUAACUGACGCUGAGGCACGAAGGCCAGGGGAGCGAAAGGGAUUAGAUACCCCAGUAGUC